AGACUGCAGGGUUUUGGCCAUUGGCUGCAUGCAGGAUUGAACCUUCAGCCUCAGGCUCAUUCCAGGUAUCCCUCCCUCUGCUUCACAUGUUACGGACAUGCUACAACAAGAUGGCACCAUGUUUGGCGCCGUUGUGCCUCAGAAGUUUCUUCUUUGAGGAUAAAUUUACUCAAAGCAGAUCCUUGGCGCCAUCCACAAGGGGUAUUUUUAACCACAUGUGGAGGAAAGUCAAGGGACAGAUGUUGAGAAACCCUCAAGUUUAGAAGAUGCUGCUCCUCCUCAGGUCCAUUCAGCAGAAUCAGACGUGGCACAGGUUGAUUCCCAGCUCGAGGAGUCAUUCGGGCCUGAACUUUGCAGGAAGAAACUCAGAUCCUCAUCAUCUUCUGCAUCGUCAUCUCCCCAGCCCCAGAGGAAAACCAAACAAGCUGUUAUGUCUUCUCCUUGUACAGACUCAAUAACUGAGCUGCCUUCCGCUAAAAGAGCCAGAGGAAAGAGUGAGGCCGCUACACAACAUACAUCUGCUGCUCCUGAGAGUCAACAAGAGAAGAACGAGCCAGCUAAAGUCCAAGAAACGGCACAGCCAGGUUUCUUAAGUCAGCUUGUGUGGGACAUCAGAAACACAGACAUUAAAGUCUGUUAAAGUUUCUAAACUGCCAUGUUUGUUUCUGUUGAAGAUGCAGAGUCUAGUUUAGUACCACAGCAGGCAGAAAAAAGAAAACAAAGAAGUUAGGCAUUCUCGAAGCAGUUUGAAGACGAAAGCGAAGUAAAACCCACUGAUUCUAGUAUGGUUCAACUUAAAUGAUAAAGUUUUACUUUUUAUGGUGACAAGUCAACACUAAAAUAUACAUGAAAAGAUGUUA